CCUACGGGUGGCAGCAGUGGGGAAUAUUGGACAAUGGGCGAAAGCCUGAUCCAGCCAUGCCGCGUGUGUGAAGAAGGCCUUCGGGUUGUAAAGCACUUUCAGUGGGGAAGAAAGCCUUGGGGCUAAUACCCUCGAGGAAGGACAUCACCCACAGAAGAAGCACCGGCUAACUCCGUUCCAGCAGCCGCGGUAAUACGGAGGGUGCGAGCGUUAAUCGGAAUUACUGGGCGUAAAGCGCGCGUAGGCGGUCUGAUAAGCCGGUUGUGAAAGCCCCGGGCUCAACCUGGGAACGGCAUCCGGAACUGUCAGGCUAGAGUGCAGGAGAGGAAGGUAGAAUUCCCGGUGUAGCGGUGAAAUGCGUAGAGAUCGGGAGGAAUACCAGUGGAGAAGGCGGCCUUCUGGACUGACACUGACGCUGAGGUGCGAAAGCGUGGGUAGCAAACAGGAUUAGAUACCCCAGUAGUC
rnacentral:rRNA from 1 species